UACUUGCUGGCUGUGGGUAUGUGAAUCUUAUUUUCCUUUCUAAAAACCAGCCCAUCAAGAAUCAGCCAUCAAGAUAGCAAUCCAUUGAUCAUUUCUGCCCAUUACAUGUUCACCAAUGAGGGCUGCUGGAUCAGGCCCAGAAAGAACGGAAGAGGCUGGGGGAUGAAUUUCAAAAUGGGCACACUUACAACAAGGAAACCAAGGAUGAGCUCCAGCAUGUACCACAGUCAUUAGACUAAAGUGAAAGAAGACAGAAUAGAAAAUAUUAAAGGUGUCGCCUGUGAUAAAGCUAAGUAUUAUUUUGUGGAUCUUUUUUCAGCUGUGUGUGUGUGUGUGUGUGUGUGUGUGGCCAGGUCCCAAUAUAAAAUACAUUUGUAUCUUUUCUUCCUGUUUUUUUGAAGGGGGCACCCAAAUAGGAAUAGAUUUGUAUUUUAUUUGUAGGUUCUAGUAAAAAAAAAAAAAAAGUAGCUUCCAAACAUUGGUAGAUGCCCCCAUUCAGUUAAUAGUAGACGUUUAAAAAAGGAGUCAGGACUCCGUCGUUGUCAUCUUCACUUCCUAUGACCUUGGGCUGCCCACAGCACCCAAAAAUGUAUGUCAUCUUGCUAGUGGAGACGAAGGAGACGAGGGUGCUGAUCUCUAACAUACAGUUGAAAUGAACAGAAAUUCUGCAGACGUUGUUAAGAAGGGGACAUUUUUGAGAAGAGAUUUAGCUUCAUGCAACUUUGAGCAAAGAGGCAUUUACUUUCCUCGGUGAUUCUUAGUGAAGAAGAGUCAAACCACCUCUAUAAGCAGCUGAGAACAAUUUUGUGAAAUUCACAGUCAAGUAAAUCACAAGUAUCUUCCCAGGGGUUUCCACCUUGGCCAAAGUUUCCUUCCCACGUAGCUGUUCAUAAUAUCACAAAACUUCAUAUUUCAUUCACCUAUAAUACCACUUCAUUUUAUGAGGUUAUAUUGCAUGAGAAUGACAAGGAAGCUUCUUUACAAAUUUAUUGCUUGUGAUGGCAUAUAAUUUGUCAGGCAAAUUGAUUUUUAAUUCGACCCUUAAAACUGUCAACGAAAGUCUUUCUUCGAGUUCUACAGUUUACUAGUAAAAUGAAGUGUGGAAAGGCAAAAGGGAAACGUUCUAUUCUGAAAGAUGGGUAAAGAGUAAACUCAAAGGAACAGACAAUAUUAUUUAGUGGAAGAAAAAGUCACACAAAUCAACUUUUAUCCCCAGUCUUCUAGGACUAAGCAGCCAUCCCUUUCCUCUGGCUAUAGUCAUCCUCUGAAAAUGAACUUUCAUACGGGGAAGCAGUGAGGGGAAAUUGAGACCCAGCUUUCACUGCUGCUACCUCCAAUAUCAAAGGCCUUCCAGUGGCCUCCUUGACCUCUGGUUGGGAAUACUUCUCCUGGAUUACCAGCUGGUGAGGUCCUCUGAGUGGUCAAGGUCGCUCUUCUCUACACUAGCCUUAACCAUCCACCAGACUCUCAUUACAGCCUAGCACAGCCCUGUGAUCAUUCCAGUGACACGGUCUGCCGGGGAACCUGCCAUGGGGACUUCCUCUCUCUCUCAGCAAGGUUUUAAGAAAACCUCUGAAGAGCCAGCUCUGAGAUUCACUUCUCACAGGCCCACAAGCUGCCGGCACAAGACCCACUGAGAGGUGAUUUAGAUACCCAUUUACCCUUCACAUUAGCCCAUCCUUUGCUCACGAUAUUGGAAUGUGCUGCACAAUAUGCUUUUCUGAAGAGGAACCAGGGAGUAAUUCAUCUUCUUUAUGUGUGCUAAGCAGAGCAAGAGGGAGAGGCGAGCAGGACCCAUGAUGAGCUGGGGAGUAGUGAUUAGUAACAGCUGACAGCCUCAGACCAAGACCCUUUCUUUGGUUACCUCAUUGUAACAGCCGAGCACAAAGGAAUGAUUGUCUUCUCGCCAAGAUUUAGAAACCCAGGACCACAGAAAAUAGCAGCUAAAAGAAAAAGCAUGGGUUGGGCCAUGGAGACAAGGGGCUGAUCAGACCAACUCCUGGUUAUACCUAUGAAGCUUGGCUUUGAAAAGAAACCUCUGUCAUGUACAAAGAUGUGCCAACAUGCAGUCAGCCAUCAACAGCACCCACCAGGACCACUUAUGUGACCAGGGAAAGUAGGUGACUUCCCUCACAGUAGAAAGAGUGUGUGGAGAGCAGCAAAUUACUUCAGCUUAAUGACAGGAAGUUCUUUGAGGGCCAGAGCUCCAGCCCCUUCUGCCUUUUCCCCAGAAGAAUCAUGAUUUACAACCAAUCACUAGAUGACUAGCUUGCAAUUUCCAAAGCAGCCUCUUUGCUUUGAAUUACUGGCUGUGGAAAAGACCUUUAUGUCCUGUGUCCCAUGCGACUUUCUUCGGAAGAUGAUGGUCAAGACAGCAUGUUUCCCUGCUGGCAGAAUGCUGAGUGGGACUAAACUCCACAACUGGGCCAGACUCGUUCAAAGUUAAUCAAAAGGCAUCUCAAGCUGACUGCAGAACAUGUCAGGCUCAAGGGGUUCCCUUUCUUCCCACGGAAGGCCUGUCCCUCACAGAAGAAAAGGAAUUGAAAGCCGCAUGGAAAUUGAAAGCAACAUAUGGACGUUAAAAACCAGUUCGACCUGGCCCAGCUUCCCAGAACAGUUGAGGCAGGAGUGUGUCUCCACCCGCUGAAAUGAGGUUGGGAAGCAGCAGAGAUUCCUGGGGCCAAAGGAGCCAUACCCACAGUUGCAACUUGACAUCCAUCCCAUUCCUUGCCAUGAAAAGAUUCUGGAAUCAUCACCACUCUGAGAACUUGGAAAUGGACCGAGGUUAAGUUUGUUUAUUGAAACUGAAAUGAACAUAUUCUAAAAAAGAUACAUUUCUUAUAUAUAAAAAAAGAAAUAAUUAAGAAUAAAAUGUGUUCACUUUAGCUAUUCUCGAAAUUAAAUCUAGGAUGUAGGACCUUAUAUACUAUAUACAAGAAUAAAUUUUCAAAAAUUUCAGUCCAUGUUCUGGCCAGUUAAAAGAAUGUGACAGUUAAGUCUUUCGGGACAGAGCUGGGGUUGAACAGAGAAGGAAGAGAAAAUUAUGGAGACAAGGGGUGGAGAGAAUGACAGAAGGAGAGAAGAGAGAAAGACGAGAAGGGAGACCACCAAGCAGAGAAGCAUGGGAUGGAGAAAAAGUUCAGUAGGUGCUUUAUCUCAGUCAGCAUAUUUCUUGGGCAGUGGCCAACACACCCCUUUUCAGUUCUGAUUAAUUUUCUCAGCAUUUAAAACUUCAUCAGUUGUUCUUAUCUAAUCUAUAAAGGAAUAGUCGCACCCAAGGAGGGGGAGAUUAUGCUCCCGGCUACCUGACCUAAACAAUAAAGCAGUAUCACUUCACCCAGUGAAAAAGACUGUGGCAAACUCUAGAAUGGGUUGGCUUCCCUUACAUCUGCCUUAAGUAUAGUAAGAGCACAGUCUCUCCUUGAAACAGGAAAAGCUGCAUUUUUGCCCCCAGGGCCAAGGGCGACAAUGGAACUGAAUUAUUCCCGAUCUAUUCCACCAGCAGUGGUGCAAGACUUUUGCAGCUUUUCCCUUCUACAAAAGGGAGUUGUUUCUGCAUAUUCUACCUUAGUUUUGCAACCUUGGUACAUAGUUUCUGUGUGCUUCUCAGUUUCAUAUGAUGUUUUUUAAAGAGGUAUUUAGAAAUUCCCACACGUUCUCCAAAGAAAAUUAGGGGCAGCCCCUUCCAUCUAACUCCACUUAUCCUGAAUAGACUUCAGGGAUAUCCAGGAGGGUGCAGAGACAGGGAGUGGAGAUGGUGUGUGGUUGAUUUGGCACUGAUGUUGCAUGGAUUGGAUUGUAAAAAUUAUUCUUUAACUUGGAAAAUGAGGAUAGGGUGGGUAACAAUGCAGUUGCCAGUGUUUGGAAAAAACAACUACUGGAUGGGUCAUUGAGUAAGAUCUGGUAACAUUAGAUGGCAAAAAACAAAACACAAAAACAAAAACAAACGAACAAAAAACACAGAGAGAGGGGAGAGUGAACUGGCAACAUUGUUAAAAAGGGGGAUGAGAUAAAAUAUUUAUAAAUAAGGUAAGCGAAAGCAAAGUGAAAAACUGAAUUCAAUAUGGGAAGUCUGGGUGGCUCAAUUGGUUAAGCACCCAACUCCUGAUUUCGGCUCAGGU